CCUGCGCACUGGGCCUUCGGGGCGGCACUGGCACAGCGACCCGCCUGGGGCUGCCCACCACCCUCACAUCCCUAUGUCCGCCACCCCUGCACUCCAGGGACACCACGAACAGACGGUGCGAGCUCCCGGGCUCCGCGCUCUGCAGCGCCCCUGUGCAUGGGGCGGCCUCAGGAGGCCUGGGCUCCCGCAGCAGCGCCGGCCUCGGGCUGAGGUCCCCGAGCCAGGGCUCCACUUCCCGCUCAGCGGACCGCAGGAGUCAACCGAGGCACAGAGAGAGCCAGCUGCUGAGUCGGAUGCUGGCUACGCAGGUGGCAGGGUGGGCCUGCUGGGGGGAAGAUGACCAGGCUGUGUCCAAGCUGCAGCCCAAAUGCCCCCAGAAGAGGACAUCAUGAGUCAGCCUCCCACCUAGAGGGAGACAAUGGCACCAGAAGGACCAGUGGCUACCGGGCUUCGUGCAGUGUAGGGCACCCCUGAUAUGCCCCGUCCUUGCUCUUGCAGCCACCAACUUUGCCAGCAGCACUAACUGCUGCCUCCCUGAGGGCUCAGUCUACCCUGCAGCCUGUCUGGGCCACCUGCAUUCACCUCCGAGACCCAACACUUCAUACCCAUGGUCUCGGUGCCACAUCCAGGCACCACCCCAUGCUCCCCUCACCCCACACCCAAGUGUAGCGCUUCCCAAACCCCUGCCUAGAAGGCCACUAGCCCUGCCCGAGGUUUGCUCUCACGUAGGCCCCUGGCCCAAACCCCAGGUUGCAGGGUGAGCUCUCUCCUGGGCCCGCCCUCUGCCCUCUACUCUCCUGAUCCCUGUUUGGCCUCCUCGUAGAACCCCCACUGCCCCAUUCCCUACUUGAGCACUCCUAGAAGUAGGUCCAGCCUGGCCUUGGUGUCCAGGACUGCUGCCAGGACAAAGGACAGAGCAAUCGACGCAAGGACCUGCACCAGGACAACCGAGACAGCACGGCUGCCAAGAACCUUUUGUCAGAGAUGCUUGGGGAGUGUUUCUCUCAUUCCAACCAGCACAAACACCUGUGUGGGUCUCGGAGCGUCGGUGCAGUUUGCCUGGGUUUGGGGUUUCUGCCGGACGAGACGGCCUCCUGCAGUGGCUGAGUAAGCCUGGGGCGAAGCCGUGGAUGCCCAAGAGGUUCCAAGCGCCACCUCCAGCCCAUCGUGUCCAAGACAGGGCCCCUUCCCCCAGAAAAGGACAUAAUCCUGAUUUAAUCAGGAAUCUUCAGUAGGCACAAGCGGGCUCUGAAGGGGUGAUGUGGAUGGAAACAGCCAUUCUGAGCACAUUUGGGUUCUUAUUGUUCCGGAAAAGAUACAGAGGCACCCAGGCUGAGGUUGGUGGAGCCAAGCAAAACCGGAGUGGAGCUUUUUCCAGACGGUGCUUCCCUGGUCUGGCUGAUGCAGGUGUGGGAAGGAGGCUGCCUCUGGCCGUUCCUAGACAGCAGUGAAGUCGAGCCCUGUGCCUGGUUGACGGAAUCUACUUCCACAUCAGGGACUGACCGAAACAGCUCCCCAGGUGGAAAGAGAGCUGGUUCUCGGUCCCCACCUCGGAAGGCCAUCAGCUGCAGGCUUGGUGUCCCGCCCUGGCCCCCCUCCGGCUCGUGUUCACAGGAAUCCAUCAUUUCCCAGCCUCUAGAUUACUCUGGGGCUGAUUAAAUUAGUGAAUGCAAUCACAAUCUGAAGCAAGUUAAUUGAGAGAAUUUAUGUGGGUCUGACAGUUUUAUGCAUGUUUGAUUAAGUAUUAUAAGGUUUGUUUUUGACUUUGCAUAAUUUAACUUUAAAUCCUGCAUGGGGGGGCCCAUCAACCAUUAAUGACCAAAAUAAACCUCUUGUAAGAUGCUUCUUUUUAUGAUUUAUUUCUGAAUGCAAUAUCCUCCAGAUUUUUUUGAUGCUAUUGCCAAAGUGACAAAUAUGUUUAAAGUAACAUUUUGAGUCAUCCCAUUCACCCUGUAAAUCUUCCAGAAUGUAUACAAUUCAUUAAAAGUUUUGAAAGAAGUACAAGUUAGCAUUUACAUUCUAACAAGUGACAUAUAAAUGCGUAUGUUUGUCUUCCAAGCACACCAUAAAAUAUAUCCCCCCGUGAGCUCCUCAGAGCCGUACAAAUCGUCCGUGUGCUGGGGUAAUGAUAAACUUGGUCACAAAUCUUCACUGCUGUCAACACAAAACUGUUCAAUCAACAGGAAUAUGAGUUGUGUGUUUUGUGAAAUUAGCACAAGAGAAAAUACAGCCCAGG